rnacentral:rRNA from 1 species
AACGCGAAGAACCUUACCUGGGCUCGAAAUGUAGUGGAAUAGGGUGGAAACAUCCUAGUCUCGCAAGAGACUGCUAUAUAGGUGCUGCAUGGCUGUCGUCAGCUCAUGUCGUGAGAUGUUGGGUUAAGUCCCGCAACGAGCGCAACCCUUAUUGCCAGUUGCCACCGGGUUAUGCCGAGCACUCUGGCGAAACCGCGCGGGAUAACCGCGAGGAAGGUGGGGAUGACGUCAAGUCCUCAUGGCCUUUAUGUCCUGGGCUACACACGUGCUACAAUGGCCGGUACAACGGGCAGCUAGUCCGCAAGGACAAGCUAAUCCCUUAAAACCGGUCUCAGUUCGGAUUGAAGGCUGCAACUCGCCUUCAUGAAGUCGGAAUCGCUAGUAACUGCAGAUCAGCUACGCUGCGGUGAAUACGUUCCCGGGCCUUGUACACACCGGAGUGC